rfam:Ixodes scapularis strain Wikel colony gcontig_1107728541640, whole genome shotgun sequence.
AUACUUACCUGGUGUCGGGGCAUCUGUGAUCAAUGAGGCAGAGCCCUCAGGGUGAGGCGCGGCCAUUGCACACCGGCCGUGUUGACCCCUGCCACUUUCUCAAACUGAGAUAGAUGGGACAUGCAAUUUUUGGUAGUGGGGGAGCAGCGUUCGCGCUAUCCCCCU